rnacentral:rRNA from 1 species
AAUCAACGCUGGCGGCGUGCCUCAGACAUGCAAGUCGAACGCGAAAGUUUCCUUCGGGAGAUGAGUAGAGUGGCGCACAGGUGAGUAACACGUGAGUAAUUUACCUUCGGGUGGGGAAUACUAACCGGAAACGGUUGUUAAUACCGCAUAAUGCAGCGGCAUCAAUGAUGACAGUUGUUAAAGCGGGGGAUUGGAGCAAUCCGACCUCGCGCCUGAAGAGAAGCNCGCGGCAGAUUAGCUAGUUGGUAAGGUAAUGGCUUACCAAGGCGACGAUCUGUAACCGGCCUGAGAGGGCGGUCGGUCACACUGACACUGAAUAACGGGUCAGACUCC